rnacentral:rRNA from 1 species
UACAGAGGGUGCAAGCGUUGUUCGGAAUUAUUGGGCGUAAAGCGCGUGUAGGCGGCCCGAUAAGUCCGCUGUGAAAGUCCAGGGCUCAACCCUGGGAUGCCGGUGGAUACUGUCGGGCUCGAGUCCGGAAGAGGCGAGUGGAAUUCCUGGUGUAGCGGUGGAAAUGACGCAGAUAUCAGGAGGAACACCGGUGGCGAAGGCGGGAUCCUGGGCCAGUACUGACGCUGAGGAGCGAAAGCGUGGG